rnacentral:lncRNA from 1 species
AUGUCAAGGUUCAGCUUCUCAGCUGACACAGCCGGACUCACAAUCUUCUUGGUGGACAAAGCCUGGCUCUCGAUCGCGGAGGCGGUGGCAGACUGGCUCUCGAUCGCGGAGGCGGCCUGGCUCUCGAACGAGGUGGCCUCGCUCUCGAUCGGUGUGGCCCCGCUCUCGAUCGGUGUGGCCUCGCUCUCGAUCGGUGUGGCCUCGCUCUCGAUCGGUGUGGCCUCGCUCUCGAUCGCAGCGGCCUCGCUCUCGGUCGCGGAGGUGGCCUGGCUCUUGAUCGCAGAGGCGGUGGCCUGGCUCUCGUUCACGGAGGCGGCCUGGCUCUCCAUCGCGGAGGUGGCCUGGCUCUUGAUCGCAGAGGCGGUGGCCUGGCUUUCGUUCGCGGAGGCGGCCUGGCUUUCGUUUGCUGAGACGGCCUGGCUCUCGGUUGCGGAGGUGGCCUGGCUCUCGAUCGCAGAGGCGGUGGCCUGGCUCUCGAUCGCGGAGGCAGCGGCCUGGCCCUCAAUCGCGGUGGAUGCGAUGACAGUGGAAGUGGUCUGGCUCUCGAUCGCGGUAGCAGCGGCUUGGCUGUCCAGCUUCUCUGUGGAAGAAGCAUGGUUCUCAAUCACAGCAGCAGCCUGGUUCUCAAUCACAGCAGCAGCCUGGUUCUCAAUCACAGCAGCAGCCUGGUUCUCAAUCAGGAUGGUAGCAGCCUGGUUCUCAACCACAGCAGCAGCCUGGUUCUCAAUCACAGCAGCAGCCUGGUUCUCAAUCAGGAUGGUAGCAGCCUGGUUCUCAACCACAGCAACAGCCUGGUUCUCAAUCAGGAUGGUAGCGGCCUGGUUCUUAAUCCCGUUAGAAGCCUCCUUGCACUCCAGCUUCUCAGUGGACACAGCCACGCUCUCUAUCUUCUCCGGGAAAACAUCCUGGGUUUCAUACUUAUCCAGAGCAGAAGCUGCAUUUACAUCCACAUUACUGAUAACAGCUGAUGCCUCAGGCUUCACCUGCAUGGACAAAGCAUCUGCCUCCUCCUGA